UGUCUCCUCGUCUCCACAGCGACCAGACGGCUGUGAGGCCACUGGAUGGAGGGAGUGCAAUGAGCUGUCUUUUUUCUAAUGAAUAGCACUGCUAUCCUGUGAGUGACCUGUCAGAUGUGACAGGCGAGACGUGAAGGAUUGUUCAAAGACACUAAAAAAAGCAACAACACAAAAGCCUGAACUUCAAGAGCAUCUCCAGACCACAACAAAACAGCAGCCUGCAAGAGGAGCUGACAGGUCUCCUGAAGAGUGAUGGCUAUUUCCACAUACAGUGUUACUGGCACGAGCGAGGAGAAUGGCAGCCCUCGCAAGUCCACCUGUGAGUGUUUUCUGAAGAGAGGAUAGAAAAUACAAGAGGAGUGGGUGGUCACCGUGCUACUGGGUUUGUGUGGGUGAGCGUGUGUGUGUCUUGGUGAGCCAGCUCCCAUGCUUGGUAAAAAUCACCUAAUUUUUCACUUGAGUGGCUCUCUUUGGGGAGCCACCCCCCUCCAUCGACCCCUUCAGAGUAAAAUUCCUCUAGUGAGUGUGAAGACUGCACUCGCAGUGCCCCCCACUCCCCCAGCACACACCGAGGGGCAUUGAAAAUGCAUUAACA